AACGUAGGACGCAAGCGUUAUCCGGAGUUACUGGGCGUAAAGCGCGGGCAGGCGGUCGGUCAAGUCUGAUGUGAAAUCUCUCCGCUCAACGGGGAGCAGCCAUUGGAAACUGGGCGACUGGAGUCUGGCAGAGGUAGGCGGAAUUCCGGGUGGAGUGGUGAAAUGCGUAGAGAUCCGGAGGAACACCAGAGGCGAAGGCGGCCUACUGGGCCAGUACUGACGCUGAGCCGCGAAAGCCAGGGGAGCGAACGGG
rnacentral:rRNA from 1 species